ACAAAGAUACUUUGACAGUAUGGGACGUUGAGAAAGGGUGAACAUUUCAUUGUAAAUCCCACUGGUGAGAAACUUCCUGACUUAGAUCCUGAUUCCCAAACUUCGUUUUUUCCUCUUGAUCCUUUUGAUGACAACAGAUCAAGCUUUUCCUUUAAGGGUUCCUGUACAAUGCGUGAAAAUCAUCUUGCCACAAGGAUCAAUUUGAUCUUUGAUGUGAAAAGUUCUCACCAUUUUGGAUAAUGACUAUAUUAUCUUAAAGAAAAUUUUGCUCAGCUUUUAUGCAUGAUCCCUAUCAUUGUUGACAUUUCAAUAAAUGUCUGUUUGCGUAUGAUUUCAUGAAACGACCUUUGUCUAAUUUUUAUUGUUCUGUACAGAGACCGCAGUGUACGAUAAUGUCAACAUUGAGAGAGAUCAUG